CGCACUCUUCGGAGUGAGCGGCGGACGGGUUAGUAACGCGUGGGAAUAUACCCUUUUCUACGGAAUAGCCUCGGGAAACUGAGAGUAAUACCGUAUACGCCCUUCGGGGGAAAGAUUUAUCGGUGAAGGAUUAGCCCGCGUAAGAUUAGAUAGUUGGUGGGGUAAUGGCCUACCAAGUCUACGAUCUUUAGCUGGUUUGAGAGGAUGAUCAGCAACACUGGGACUGAGACACGGCCCAGACUCCUACGGGAGGCAGCAGUGGGGAAUCUUAGACAAUGGGCGCAAGCCUGAUCUAGCCAUGCCGCGUGAGUGACGAAGGCCUUAGGGUCGUAAAGCUCUUUCGCCAGAGAUGAUAAUGACAGUAUCUGGUAAAGAAACCCCGGCUAACUCCGUGCCAGCAGCCGCGGUAAUACGGAGGGGGUUAGCGUUGUUCGGAAUUACUGGGCGUAAAGCGUACGUAGGCGGAUUGGAAAGUAGGGGGUGAAAUCCCAGGGCUCAACCCUGGAACUGCCUCCUAAACUAUCAGUCUAGAGUUCGAGAGAGGUGAGUGGAAUUCCAAGUGUAGAGGUGAAAUUCGUAGAUAUUUGGAGGAACACCAGUGGCGAAGGCGGCUCACUGGCUCGAUACUGACGCUGAGGUACGAAAGUGUGGGGAGCAAACAGGAUUAGAUACCCUGGUAGUCCACACCGUAAACGAUGAAUGCCAGACGUCGGGGGGCUU
rnacentral:rRNA from 1 species